GAGGUCUGUGGAUUGUAAACCCCUUUUCUCAGGGAAGAAGCUCUGACGGUACCUGAGGAAUCAGCAUCGGCUAACUCCGUGCCAGCAGCCGCGGUAAUACGGAGGAUGCAAGCGUUAUCCGGAAUUAUUGGGCGUAAAGCGUCCGCAGGCGGCUAGAUAAGUCUGCUUUCAAAGAGUGGGGCUCAACCCCAUAAAGGGAGUGGAAACUGUUUAGCUAGAGUAUGGUAGGGGCAGAGGGAAUUCCCAGUGUAGCGGUGAAAUGCGUAGAUAUUGGGAAGAACACCAGUGGCGAAGGCGCUCUGCUGGACCGAGACUGACGCUGAGGGACGAAAGCUAGGGGAGCGAAUGGGA
rnacentral:rRNA from 1 species